rnacentral:rRNA from 1 species
CCUACGGGUGGCAGCAGUCGAGAAUCAUUCACAAUGGGGGAAACCCUGAUGGUGCGACGCCGCGUGGGGGAAUGAAGGUCUUCGGAUUGUAAACCCCUGUCAUGUGGGAGCAAAUUAAAAAGAUAGUACCACAAGAGGAAGAGACGGCUAACUCUGUGCCAGCAGCCGCGGUAAUACAGAGGUCUCAAGCGUUGUUCGGAAUCACUGGGCGUAAAGGGUGCGGAGGCUGUUUCGUAAGUCGUGUGUGAAAGGCGCGGGCUCAACCCGCGGACGGCACAUGAUACUGCGAGACUAGAGUAAUGGAGGGGGAACCGGAAUUCGCGGUGUAGCAGUGAAAUGCGUAGAUAUCGAGAGGAACACUCGUGGCGAAGGCGGGUUCCUGGACAUUAACUGACGCUGAGGCACGAAGGCCAGGGGAGCGAAAGGGAUUAGAUACCCUUGUAGUC